rnacentral:lncRNA from 1 species
AAGCGUCACCGUGGCCAGGGACCACCACAAUAAACCCUCCACCACCUUCACCUCUCCUCCUUCUGCCGCCAUUCCCGCACCGCUUGUGGGCACCGAUCCUGGACUCGUACAGGGCGCGCGCCGAGCAGCGGGUGCAAAAAGCGGCCUUUCCGGGGAAGUCGGAUCAGGAAUGAUUCACGCCCACUUCUGUUCCGUCCUAUCAGCGAGCGCGGGGCGAUUUGGCCCCGCCUCCCCCCCCCCCCCCCCCCCCCCCCCCCCCCCCCCCCCCCCCCCCCCGAAUGAUUCACGCCCACUUUUCCUCCGUCCAAUGGGCGAGCGUGGCUCCGCCCCCGAGCCGAUCCUGAUCCGAAAAUCUGCAUAUGGUUUCUCCUGCUGCACUAUAAAGCGCCGAGCGCGGGGCGAAUCAAGUGAGAGAAGAGUUUCUGUUUCGGGCCCGAGUGAGAGAAGAGUUUCUGUUUCGGGCUCGAGUGAGAGAAGAGUUUCUGUUUCGGGCUCGAUGAGAGAAGAGUUUCUGUUUCGGGCUCGAGUUGGAGAAGAGUUUCUGUUUCGGGCUCGAGUGAGAGAAGAGUUUCUGUUUCGGGCUCGAGUUGGAGAAGAGUUUCUGUUUCGGGCUCGAGUUGGAGAAGAGUUUCUGUUUCGGGCUCGAGUUGGAGAAGAGUUUCUGUUUCGGGCUCGAGUUGGAGUAAAGAGUUUCUGUUUCGGGCUCGAUUUGAGGAAGAGUUUCUGUUUCGGGCUCGAGUUGGAGAGAGUUUCUGUUUCGGGCUCGGGCGAGUUGUGGUGGCGGCGGCGAAGUGUGGCAGCAGCAGUCAAGACGGGUCUGGAGGAGAGUCGGUCUGUCGGGGUUCGGAGUCUGCCCCCCCCCCCCCCCCCCCCCCCCCCCCCCCCCCCCCCCCCCCCCUUCUGUUUCGGGCUCGAGUUGGAGAAGAGUUUCUGUUUCGGGCUCGAGUUGGAGUAGAGAGUUUCUGUUUCAGGCUCGGGCGCGUUGUGGCAGCGGCGAAGUGUGGCAGCAGCAGUCAAGACGGGUCUGGAGGAGAGUCGGUCUGUCGGGGUUCGGAGUCUGUCGGGGAGCUGCAGAGAGGAGAAGCCGGGAACGCGGUCGAGGGCGCAGUGGAGUCGCUCGUCGGGGGACCCAAGCAAGCCAGCUUUCCUCUAUCCCCAGAGCAUCAACAACCCCCCCCCGCGCUGAGAUAGUGCGAAAAGGGGGGCCCCGUUCCCACCCCAUUUCAAGCAGUGCCAACGAAACCCACGAAGGAGCGUGGAGUCGGGGCACCGCCGCCAUUUUGCGGCUCAUCACAAGACGGGUAGGCUCUACGCGGUCUCACGCCCACAGACCACGUCUGCCCCCUUGUCGUUGAGGGUGGCCCUUUUCUUUUGAUUUUGAGUAUAUGUGUUGUCGGCGCCGUCUGUAAAGUAAAACUGUGUAAGUGUUGCCGUGUGCUCGCGUAGUCGGUAGUAUCUCUGCAUUGUGUUUCUUUUGGUGCAUAAUUGUUGUGUUUCUUUUACAUUUGCUUUUGGUGCAUAAUUGUUGUAAUUGUAUAUGUGUGCUUUCCGUUUGCCGCGGAAUAAAUGUGCCUUAUGUUGAACUGUUUUUCCCGUUUCGCUUCGUCUUUUCUUUAAUUGAAUCUCCAUCUUACUUCACGUAAAGGGUUGGUAGUGGGCUAAAUACGCCCGACAAUUAAUCGGAACCGUCGAGGUUGACGAUAACACCGCUCGGUUAUCCCGAUAGUACGGAACGGGUCGCUUAAAGUGGCCCGUGUCCGAAGUCG